rnacentral:rRNA from 1 species
GCAUGAAGUUGGAAUCGCUAGUAAUCGCAGAUCAGCAUGCUGCGGUGAAUACGUUCCCGGGCCUUGUACACACCGCCCGUCACACCAUGGGAGUCGGUAACACCCAAAGUUGGUAGCCUAACCGCAAGGAGGGCGCCGCCUAAGGUGGGAUUGAUGACUGGGGUGAAGUCGUAACAAGGUAAC